CUGCAUGUGAAUGUUGGCUCCCCACUCCUUUACAAGAUGGAAUCUAUAAUAUGCUACAAUAAUAAAGGAGUUCUCAGGGCUGGCAGUGUUACAGUAGCUAUGUUUCUCCUACAUUU
rnacentral:snoRNA from 1 species